rnacentral:rRNA from 1 species
AGCGAACGCUGGCGGCAGGCUUAACACAUGCAAGUCGAGCGGGCGUAGCAAUACGUCAGCGGCAGACGGGUGAGUAACGCGUGGGAACAUACCUUUUGGUUCGGAACAACACAGGGAAACUUGUGCUAAUACCGGAUAAGCCCUUACGGGGAAAGAUUUAUCGCCGAAAGAUCGGCCCGCGUCUGAUUAGCUAGUUGGUGAGGUAACGGCUCACCAAGGCGACGAUCAGUAGCGGUCUGAGAGGAUGAUCAGCCACAUUGGGACUGAGACACGGCCCAAACUCCUACGGGAGGGCAGCAGUGGGGAAUAUUGGACAAUGGGCGCAAGCCUGAUCCAGCCAUGCCGCGUGAGUGAUGAAGGCCCUAGGGUUGUAAAGCUCUUUUGUGCGGGAAGAUAAUGACGGUACCGCAAGAAUAAGCCCCCGGCUAACUUCGUGCCAGCAG